rnacentral:rRNA from 1 species
UUCCUACGGGAGGCAGCAGUGGGGAAUCCUACGGGAGGCAGCAGUGGGGAAUAUUGCGCAAUGGGGGAAACCCUGACGCAGCAACGCCGCGUGAGCGAUGAAGGUCUUCGGAUUGUAAAGCUCUGUCUUUAGGGACGAUAAUGACGGUACCUAAGGAGGAAGCCACGGCUAACUACGUGCCAGCAGCCGCGGUAAUAGUCCGUGCCAGCAGCCGCGGUAAUA